rnacentral:lncRNA from 1 species
GACAGCAGUCGGGGAUCUUUCACUCGAGUUUUCAACAGUCAGCAUUUCGAGGUGAGUUUCCUUCCAGUAGGAACGGGUCUAAGGCCACAAUGUCGGCCCGUUUAGCUAGCAGUAGUUUCCGGACUUCGGUCCGAUGCAGUAGUUAGUAUGUUUGAUGCCUUCGUGGCUCAGACAGGAUUUAUGUGUUAUGUGUUCCGGGCUACGACCCGAUGCAGUCUGUAGUAUAUCUGUGUUCAUGCUAGUUGAUAUUUUUAUGUUAUGAUUUGUUCAGUUAGUCCGGACUUCGGUCCGAUGCAGGGGACAAGGUCCCAGUCAGUUUCUGGACUUUGGUCCGAUGUAGGGGGCAAGGCCCCAGUUAGUCCAGACUUCGGUCCGAUGCAGGGGACAAGGUCCCAGUCAGUUUCCGGACUUCGGUCCGAUGCAGGGGGCAAGGCCCCAGUUAGUCCGGACUUCGGUCCGAUGCAGGGGACAAGGUCCCAGUCAGUUUCCGGACUUCGGUCCGAUGCAGGGGGCAAGGCCCCAGUUAGUCCGGACUUCGGUCCGAUGCAGGGGACAAGGUCCCAGUCAGUUUCCGGACUUCGGUCCGAUGCAGGGGGCAAGGCCCCAGUUAGUCUGGACUUCGGUCCGAUGCAGGGGACAAGGUCCCAGUCAGUUUCCGCACUUCGGUCCGAUGCAGGGGGCAAGGCCCCAGUAUGUUUUUUAUAUGUUAUUGUAUGGUAUGUGGUAGUUUAAAGGAGCUCAGUAAGCUUCGUGCUUACGGUUUUCAGUUUUGGUUUCAGGUACUCAGUUUUCAAAACAGGAGCUCGGAGAGAUUGCAGUGCACACACCAUAGUCAGUUAGCCUGGGGAAUGUUUUACUCUGAUAAAGAGAUUAUGUUUUGAACUUAAUACUCGAAAGUUAUGUUAUGACUUAUGAUACGUUUUUAUAAAUAUGGUCUUAGUAAUGUUUUAAAAGAAAUUUUUAUUCGUGAUUUUUGGGUCGUUAAAGUUGGUAUNGUUGGUAUCAGAGCCUUGGUUUGAGGGAUUCGGACAUGCUUGAGAGUGUGUCUGGACUCAAACUAAGGAAAUGGUAAAAGGUUUUCAAAAGAAAAACAUUUUCGAAAGGAAAUUUUGGGUAAAAAAGAGUUUGAGAAAAGAAAAGAGUUUUAGAAAAAAGGGAAAAGAAUCUUUAGAAAGAAAAUAACUUGAAAAGAGAAAAAGGGUGUGGUGCAUACAAUCAGCCGAGCUCAAGUAAGUACUCCCAAAUUAUCCAUACAAGUUUAUGAUUAUCAGUUUCAGUUCAGUUUUAGUUCCAGUUUCAGUUCAGAUUCAGCUUCAGUAGAACGGCAUGCUAGUAUAGGACUAAGGAUCUAGGAGGAUAACUUAUGUGCCUGCUUAUGUGUUUCAGCCUUAUGAGAAUUGCAUGCUAGUAGUGAGUAGACAGUAGUAGGAUAGCAUGUUUAGGUUAUGCCUGAUAGUAUGAGCUUAGCAUUGUAUGCUAGUACGGUUUCUCGUUACGAGAGUAGAUUUGCUUGAGUAGUUUCAUGUGUCCGAAUGUUGCUUGCUUUGUGCUUUGUGGGACUCUGAAUGAUGAGAGUUAGCCAUUAGGUGAAUAAGUCACAUCACAUGUAAGUAGGGUUGAAUAAUCUCAGAGUGCUGGAUUUGGCCCUAUUGUGCAGCUCUUGUCUGAGUCCAACCAUUGUAGGGACGAGUCUUUUACUCGAAGGAUUAUCCGAGCCUCAUUGCAUGUGGUGGUAUUCAGGUGGUGGCUAAUUGGCAUUACAAGGAGGCCUUCAACAGCUGAGGACUGGUUUGGGUAGAGUCAGAGGUUCCCUAGAGCAAGCCUAGGAAGGUAGUAGCAUAGAUCAGUAGCAGGAGAGUGACUUGGUGGAGUUGAGGUAACUCUAGAGGAAAGUACGGAUAGAUGUGGAAGGUAGUAUGGGCCCAUACUACUAAAAGCAGAGGACCCGUACUCGAUCCAAGAGGGGCCGAGACAAGACCAGGGAACUAUAGAGUGUGUGUGAGAGAUUCCUCAGCAGUGGUGUGUAUAUUGAUUAGGAAGUUUUAUAUUUUCAGCAUGGUGACAUUGUGCGAGUUACCAAUUAGCAGUUCGGGUACCGGGGAGGGAUCUAGCUCAGGUUAUAGAGUCGGGCAGCUUGAUGAUCAGAUGAGGAAUUUCAUUUCUGCAGAGAUCAUGCGCAACAUCAUUGAUCAGGCUCCAGUGAUUUUUAGUUCGGUUAGAGAGGCCAUCGUGGAGCUUAUGGACAGUCAUUUGGAGGCCUUUAGGGCCGGGAUAGUUUCAGGACAGAUUGGGGCUCGUCUAGAGCCCGAUGCUUAUGGAGUUCAGGGAUCCAUCAGGGAUGGAGUUCCCAUUUUUAGCUCUUAUCAUCAGGGGACAGGAGUGAGUGGAGCACCCUGUCAUCAGGAGAGGCCUCUACAUGAUUGGAUAGUCAGGGAGGUUUCGCGAGCCAUUCGUGAGGAGAUGCCCGACAUUGUCGUGAGGGUCACUGAUAGGUUGAUCGCGAAGCUCCAGGAUCAGACAGCUGUUGUUCAGAUGGGUGGGGAGUCGGAAAGGAAGAGGAAAUCGGAUGAGACUCAGGUAGCCACAGAUUCGGGCAAGAGACCCAAGGGAUCGGAAUUGAGAACAAGGGACUUUCAGAGGCGCAGCCAAUGCGGGAAGUGUGGUAGGACGCACAUGGGUGCGUGCAGGCGUAUAAGUGGUGGCGAUGCUGGAUGUUUCAAGUGCGGCCAGAUUGGCCAUUUUAGCAGAAAUUGUACUGUUACCAUCGCCCAUGGACUUGAUCCGAUAUGUUUCCAUUGCAGUCAGAGGGGCCACAAGAAGGCGCACUGUCUGAGUUUGUAUUCAGCAGGGCAGGUGACAGCUCCUGCCCCUGGGACUUCGAGAGCCACCAGCGGACAUCAGGGUCGGGCAAGGGCGCCUACGGCUCGAAGCCGAGUAUUCCGGUUGAUUUCAACAAGGAUUCGAGCAGAACUGAAUGGUGGGGGUACGUAUCUUUUACCUUCCUAUCAAUUAUUAUUCAUGAUACUAUUGUUAUGUUGCUUCAUUGAUAUCAAUAAGAAUAUGUGUUGGGAUAUUAUAUUACCUGCCUAUGGUUAAGUUAUAUGCCAAUUGCAUACCUUGGGAUUAGAAUGGUGAAUUGGAGGUCGUCCCUCUAGGGCAGGUUACUUUGGAUACAGUAACUGUAGCAUGUAUGUGUAAGAUUUAGUAGUGCCUCACUACUUGCGGAGGGUGUUAGUCGGGUAAUGAUGAGUUAUACUCUCAGUAGAUACAAUCCAGAGCUUCUAAUGGAGUAGCUAGCGGUCAGUAAGGAAGUGGGUUGGGGAUGUGCACCCCAAACGCAGGUUCUCAGGUUGUGGUCACUAAAGUAAAUUCAGUUAAGGAUUUAAGGGUGCUCAGUUAGAUAGCAAAAAUGGUUAGGAUCGGGUAAGAGUUGGUUGGAGCGCCGACAGAGGUAAACGUUGGCGAACAGCAGAUCGCCCUUUCAAUGGAAGGAAGGUUGGGAAUCCUUUCGACCAGUGAGCAGUAAGGAGUUAGCCGAAUCCAAGUGGGGGAGAACCCUCCGAGUAUACAAGGAUAAGAGCACGUAGACCCAGAAUGAGUACGCGGCCUCUGAGAAGAAAAGAUAGUAGCACAGUGAUUGAUGGAUUGAGAAGUUCAGAAUUGGGAGUUUGAGGAACUUCCCAACAGUUAGUUCAUGUAAUCGAGAUGGUUAGAAGCUGGUUGGGAAUCCAGGAUUGGUGGACCACCUGUAGGGCUCAAGUGAGUUGGAAUAAGGAUCCUGAGAACGGUUAGCAAGAGAUGCUUUCGUAUUAGUAGCCAGUGACAGAGUCAGCAUGCAGGGUUGUGUAGAUUCAGGAGUUGGGAGUUUGGAAACUUCCUAACAAUAGCUUCUUGAAUCCGGAUUAGUAGACGGUUGGUUUGGGAACCAAGCCGAAGAGCUCUUCGACGAAGCGCUAAGUACAUCAAGGAUAUAAGAUGUCAAGGAUGAUGCAGUAUUCAAGGACUGAGGGCUGGUUUUGAGGAAUCAGGAUGUGGAAUCACUAGCGGGACUAGAGAUAGUAGUAGUAGUAGUGUUGUAAGCCUACGGGGGUAGCCGUAGCAUUNNNNNNNNNNNNNNNNNNNNNNNNNNNNNNNNNNNNNNNNNNNNNNNNNNNNNNNNNNNNNNNNNNNNNNNNNNNNNNNNNNNNNNNNNNNNNNNNNNNNNNNNNNNNNNNNNNNNNNGCAGUCAGAUAGUAGUAGUAGUAGUGUUGUAAGUCUGCGGGGGUAGCCGUAGCAUUCACUAGCAGUCAGAUAGUAGUAGUAGUGUUGUAAGUCUGCGGGGGUAGCCGUAGCAUUCACUAGCAGUCAGAUAAUAGUAUAGUGUUGUAAGUCUGCGGAAGUAGUCGUAGCACUCAUCAAGUUAGUAGAUAGCAUGAGCGCGUUAUUUGGACGCAGGGGAAAUAGUAGUACCCACCAGUUCGGGUGCAGCAGUGAAGAUAUGGGAAUCCACGGAUUAGAUUUCGGAUUUCCCAAAUGGUUCAGUUAUGGUUAAGCCGGCGAUUCGACAGUUGGAUCGUCACCGCAGUUAUGAGAUCAGAGUUGCAUUGGACCAUUGGGGUUCGGGUAUGUUAAGGGCUACCGUUAGUCUGGGAUCCAUCAUGUUGCUAGUCGUGGAAUUGAUGGUGUCAGGAUGUGACGUUUGGACCUGAUUGGUGGAUCGGGAGGUUGUUAGAGCCACAGUGACAGGAUAACUAGUGGAAAUUAGUUCCAGAGAAAGAUUCGGUCAGAAGUCGUGGGAGUGACUAAGUGAGGAAUCUUUGGACUCCACAGUUGAGUUGGAACUCGGUGUUACAGAUAACUAAUGAAUGAUUGGAGACCAGGAAGGUCUCGAGAUAUUUUGGGAAGCGGCCAUAAGGCAAAUCAGUGUUUCAGACAGUUCAAUGUUUCAGGCAGAUCAGUGCUUCAGGCAGUUCAGUGUUCCAGGCAGUUCAAUGUUAUAGACAGUAUUAGUAUUCGUGUUGGAAUGCAAGUGUUGACAGUAUAGUUGGUAAAUUUGGAAAUGGCAAGUCUCUCACAGCAGGUUCAAUUGAAUCAGCUGCCAAGUAUAAGUGAUCUGCAAGGAUAAUUAGACAGGUAGCCUUCCUUUCAGGAUGGAAGGUUCGAGUUAUUGGAAGUUGAGUAGUCAGAUGAGAGAUAAGCAGGCUGAUUCCAGCAACAUCGACUCAGUAUGAGUGGCAGAAUGGAUAGAACAAAUUAUAGAUAGUCAAGAUAUCUUCAGAAGUCGCUGGAAGCGACUAGGAGAUUGCGAUGGGGUGUAGUGGCCGAUGGGAGUCCGGUAACCCAGAUAUCGGCAGAUUAGUUGGACCAGUGUGGUCUCAGUGCAUCCGGUAGGCGGAUGAUGGGCAACAAAAUAUUCAGUCAGAGGCAGCAAGUUGAUAGAGGAUGCUACGCCUCUCGCAGCAGGGUUGGAUAAUCUCAGAGGGGAGGAUUUGACCUUGUUGCGCAGCUCUCGUAUGAGUCUUAAUCGUUGCAGGGAUGAAUCUUUCAUUCGAAUGAUUGACUGAUCCAUUCGUUGGGACGGGUGCUCAGCACUAAGUUAUGGAAAUAUGAAUCAUUUAGUAUGUACCAGCAGUAGUGACCACCAUUGAGAGCGGCUGGAGUGAUGGAAAAAAGGGUUAGAGUCACCAGGCAAGGUGUGGUAAGAUAAUUGGUCGUAGCGGACUUCGAGGACGAAGUCUAGUUUAAGUGGGGGAGAGUUGUAACGCCCUGUUAUAAAAUAUUCUUUUAUGGAAUUUCAAAGGCCAAGGCCAAGGGCAUUUUAGUCCUUUAUUAAAUUUGGAGUUAUUAUGCGAGAAGUUUUCGGGCCGGGUUGUGUUGUUAGAAACGUAGGGUUUCUCGUCAACUUUCCGUGGAUAUAAAGUUCAUCAGAAACGGAUCUGGAAUGAAAGAGUUAUGACACUUUGAAGAUUUGGCAAGAAUGGCCCUUAAAGAGAAAAGUUUGCAUUGAAGACCAUGCAUGCAUGUUUGGAACACGCGUGGGUACGCCCAGUGUAAUGAGGCAGCUUGGUCGUAGAUGUCCAAGGCGUACCCCCAGCGUACGCCUAGCGUACGCCCAACAUAUGCUAAAAGUUAUGAAACCCUAAUUUCGGAGUAAACAUUAUAUAAAGGACAUUAUGGUUCCAACCCUAGCCCCCAUAUGAGCCUCCCCAACCUCAUAAGAAACCCUAGAACGUCCCUACCUUCAUUUUAUGAGAUCUUGACCUUGGAGAACCCAUUUUGGUGGAUUAAAGCUUGCAAGCAAAGAGAAGAAGGUUGGCAAGGAGGAACCUUUGAAGCUAGAGCUUGUAGAUCUGGUAUAAGUGCUUCAUUUCGGACCUUUGCAAGGUAAAAAGUCUUGAGCAUGAUGACUAACCUCUUAGACCUCCUUAGUACAAGUUUAUAGACCUUUUGGUCCCAAGAUUUGGACUUUAUGACUUAAGCUCGUUUCUAAGACCAGGGUUGCCUCCCCUAGAGUCAUAUGAGUCCCAGAAGCAGUAAAGUUCCAACCUUUGUGGUCCUAUUAAGUUCAUGCAUGAGAUCUAGUCCCCUUUAUGGAAGUAGAAGAGUGUUUUGAGAGUUUGGGUUGGUUUGGGCCAUAUAAAGUCACCAAGUCAGUGACUUUAUGGAUUAGGGCAUGGAAUAAGACCUAGAUCUAAGUUUAUGGCUCUUGAGUCGGAGUAUUAAGUGCUUAAUGGGAAGUGUCUUAACAGAGUAAGUACGCCGAGCGUAAUUGCAGGUACGCCCCACGUACUCUCUAGCAAGCGAGUACGCUAAGCGUACAUUAGAGUACACCCCGCGUAACGCAGUCAGUUGGGCUUAUUGCAUUUUGGGCCUCGGUGUGGGCUGAGUUGAGACUUAGGGUCCUUGGGCCUUAUUGGGCCAUCAGAAUUCAGUUGCUAAGGACCAAGGAUUUAGCAUUGGGAUUGAGUAAGGUCUAAUAAAAGGGCUUUAGACCCAAUGGAGCAAAUUGGGCCAUUAGUGUGCCUUUAGUGGGGCCAUGGAUGGGCUUAGAAGGAAUUAGGGGUUUUGGGGCCAUGUUGUGACCCAUGCCAUAACAGGGGUAAAAUGGUCAUUUUACCCAUAGGAGAAUCCCUAUUCUGAGUUAGUAUUUUCUUUCCCAUGAUAGUUGGGGAGCAGCCGGGACAGCAGUCGGGGAUCUUUCACUCGAGUUUUCAACAGUCAGCAUUUCGAGGUGAGUUUCCUUCCAGUAGGAACGGGUCUAAGGCCACAAUGCCGACCCGUUUAGCUAGAAGUAGUUUCCGGACUUCGGUCCGAUGCAGUAGUUAGUAUGUUUGAUGCCUUCGUGGCUCAGACAGGAUUUAUGUGUUAUGUGUUCCGGGCUACGGCCCGAUGCAGUCUGUAGUAUAUGUGUGUUCAUGCUAGUUGAUAUGUUUAUGUUAUGCUUUGUUCAGUUAGUCCGAACUUCGGUCCGAUGCAGGGGAAAAGGUCCCAGUCAGUUUCUGGACUUUGGUCCGAUGUAGGGGGCAAGGCCCCAGUUAGUCCGGACUUCGGUCCGAUGCAGGGGACAAGG